UUUUGAGCCCAUAGGUAUUCAAGAGAGCUUCCAACAUAGAUCGCUACUGGAUUCUAGUUAUGUGAUACAAAAUUAUUUCAACCACAUGAUCAUGCCUAUUAGUUUCGGCCUUUCUAAUUACUCCUCUUCUAUAUGUACAUAAAUAUUACACAAGGGCAUAAUAGCUGUGAAUGAGAGUUAUGAAGCCUGAGUGAUUGUUUUGUUUUAGGCUGCUUCAGCAAAUCCAACUCUUAGGUUCCCAUAGUCGAACACUGUGUGAUAAGGACCCAUGAAUAUAUCCCCCAGAAUCCAUAGAGGUCCACGAGGGGGGGCCACAUCUAAAGCAAUAAAUCCACUAAUGCAUUGAGCUGAAACUCCCUUUCCCACUUUAAGCACAUACUGCUCUGGCCUUAGGCCAAACACUUUACCACCAAUUAUGAAUGAGAUAUGAGGCAUUGAAGAUAGACUGCUACAAUCAACUGUUGAUUCUCCAUUUGGACUAGGCAAUCGAUCACAGAGUUCAUUCACGUAGUUCAAGAUCUUCUCUUCUGUCUCAUUUAGCUUUAUACGAUUUUGCAUCCAUACAACCAUCAUCUCACAAGCAGUGCACGUAGCAUCUUCCACACCAUUAGACACUUUGUCUAUAGUUUCAUCCACCACAUUAUCAAUGUUUGCACUAACACCUCGAGUCCCAUCAAAAGUACAUAAGCCAAUUUGAGAGCAAAUCUUCUCUGGUUGUGCCUGAGCUAUCAGCAUUUCCAGUAUGACUUUCCCAUAUUGUGCAACCAAUGUCUUGCAUUCUUGGCUUAUAAUACCAGAGGCUCCAAUGGCAUGAUUAAUUUGAGUAAUCACAGUCGUUGGG
rnacentral:misc_RNA from 1 species